UACGGGGGGGGCAAGCGUUGUUCGGAAUUACUGGGCGUAAAGAGCUCGUAGGCGGUUUGUCGCGUCGAAUGUGAAAACCCGGGGCUCAACCCCGGGCCUGCAUUCGAUACGGGCAGACUAGAGUACUGCAGGGGAGACUGGAAUUCCUGGUGUAGCGGUGAAAUGCGCAGAUAUCAGGAGGAACACCGGUGGCGAAGGCGGGUCUCUGGGCAGUAACUGACGCUGAGGAGCGAAAGCGUGGGGAGCGAACAGG
rnacentral:rRNA from 1 species